GUCACUUUGGCCGAGUGGUUAAGGCGCCUGAUUCGAACCAUAAACGUUGUAUCAUGUGGGAUCUCCCGCGCAGGUUCAAAUCCUGCAGGUGACG
rnacentral:tRNA from 1 species